rnacentral:rRNA from 1 species
AUUGAACGCUGGCGGCAUGCUUUACACAUGCAAGUCGAACGGCAGCGCGGGCUUCGGCCUGGCGGCGAGUGGCGAACGGGUGAGUAAUACAUCGGAACGUGCCCAGUAGUGGGGGAUAGCUCGGCGAAAGCCGGAUUAAUACCGCAUACGACCUGAGGGUGAAAGCGGGGGUCCUCGGGCCUCGCGCUCUUGGGGGGGCCGAUGGCAGAUUAGCUAGUUGGUGGGGUAAAGGCCUACCAAGGCGACGAUCGGUAGCCGGUCUGAGAGGACGACCAGCCACACUGGGACUGAGACACGGCCCAGACUCCUACGGGAGGCAGCAGUGGGGAAUUUUGGACAAUGGGCGAAAGCCUGAUCCAGCAAUGCCGCGUGUGUGAUGAAGGCCUUCGGGUUGUAAAGCACUUUUGGCGGGAACGAAAAGGACUGUGCCAAUACCACGGUUCGAUGACGGUACCUGCAGAAUAAGCACCGGCUAACUACGUG